CCCCUGAGAAGUACCUAAACCAGGAUGGAAGAAGAAGAAGAACUGAGGGGAGAAAAUUGUGCUAAUAAAAGGAACACCAUAAAGGUAAAGGUAAAGGACCCCUGACAGUAAAGUCCAGUCGCAAACGACUCUGGGGUUAUGGUACUCAUCUCGCUUUACUGGCCAAGGGCACCGGUGUUUGUCCGCAGACAGUUUUUCCAGGUGGCCAGCAUGACUAAGCCACUUCUGGUGAAACCAGAGCAGCACACAGAAAUGCCGUUUACCUUCCCACCGGAGCAGUACCUAUUUAUCUACUUGCACUUUGACAUGCUUUCGAACUGCAAGGUGGGCAGGAGCUGGGACUGAACGACGGGCGCUCACCCCGCCGCGGGGAUUCGAACCGCUGACCUUCCAAUCGGCAAGUCCUAGGCUCAGUGGUUUAGACCACAGCACCAUCUGCAUCCCGAGGAACACCAUAGGGUGCCUUAUACUGAGCCCAACCAUUGUUCCUUCUAGCUCAGUGCUGUCUACAUUGACCAGCAGCAACUCCCCAGGAUUUCAGGCAGGGGUGAUGCUGGGGUUGAACCUGGGACCUUCUCCAUGCAAAGCAAAUGCUCUACAACUGAGCUGUGACCCUUGGAGAAAACACUGGAGUUAUAGAGGAAGCACAUUAGCAGUUGAGCCAUUGCAUAUGGUCUGCACAUUUGGCACGUGUCCAUCCCUGGCCCACCCCCAGCCUUCUUUCAUCAAACAAAUUUUGCGAGAUUUCUGGAGCUUCAAAAAAGUGACAAAACUCUUUGACAGAAAUGACGGCAGGAGAAAAGGAAUUGCUCUUAACAACGAAGUCCGGUAAGGUAAAAAGAAUGCACAUCAUCCCUAAAAUAGCACAGUCCUUAAAAUAUAACAAAGCAAUGACUCAUAACAAUUCACAAAAUACCACUUUACCGAUAGCAGCAGUAGCCACUCAUCCAUUUGCCUAAUGGUGUCUCCUCCUCCUCCUCUUCCUCCUCCUCGUACCCCAACAUUAUCUUGACUGAUCUUCUGCCUGCUCUGACUGGCAGCUGCUUUCUAAAGCUUGGGCUGGGUUCAUCCCUACGCCAUGAAAUACUGCUAGCUGGAAAUGGCAGGGCUCGUGUGCUGUAACCACGUAACUGUAGACCUACCAUUAAAAGCUAUUGUCUGUCUUCAGCUUGGGUACUUGCUUGGUGUCUAACCAAUUACUUGCCAUUUGGAGUCUGCCAGACUAGGAAACACCCCUGGGAGCAGAGCUUCUGGAUAUGAUUGAUCUGAUGGAUGAAGCACACUUUCUUCUAUUCUGAAUAUUUGGGGGGGGGGGUGUUUUUGUGUUUUUUGACACACACAGACACAGACACACAUCCUUAUUGGAGUUGCUUGCUUCCACCAUAUGUAACCUAGGCAGAAGGCAUUCUGGACAGUCUCCAGAUGUUUUUGAGACAAAAGCCUUGGAAUGUGGCUGCAGUGCCCUCCUUGGAAUCUGCAUAUUCCUCUGUGGAAUUGUGCGUGGGCAGGCAGUUACACUGACUCCAUUGUUGUGAACUGGUUUUCAAUUACCAUCUUAAUGAAAGGAUGCCCAGGUGACCCGCUGCUGUUUGACUGCCCCCCUAGUCAACAGCUGUUUUCAGAGUCUGCGGACCCAGGGGGCUUAUUUGCUUGCCUCAGGUGGAACACCUUGAUCCAAUUACUUCCCCUCUCAUCACAGAGCUGAAGCCUGGCACCACAACAGCUGAUACUUGAUCUGGGCUCCGAACGAAUUCUCUGUAUUAUAUGUGCCUCUUGGCAUUAAACAGGAUAAGCAAAAAAACAAAACAAAGCCCGCCAACAGCUUCGACAUCUAAAGCAUCUCCUCCUGACAGGAUGUCUUCAGGCACUUUAGGGAAGAUGGUACCGUAAUGCACAAUAAUGUUACCUUAAUAAGGGAAGCAAGACGACAGGAGGAAUAUUCCUGCUUUCGUUCCAAAAAUGAGAAAUCUCAGUAAUCUUGCUGCCUUUUCCAUUAGCUUCAUUACAGGAACUCUACUGGCUCAAUAAAUGUAGUGCACAGCAGACAAGGACAUCUGAAGAUGUUUCUGUGAUGGGCUUCAUGUCUUCACUGCCUCCUCUGUGGAGCUCCUUGUGCUGGUUUCAAGCGGUGGUCAUCUUUUUCCUGACCUUGGUGGCAGAAAUAGAAACUGCCAAAGUCAAGGUCAACUCAAGAGCAAAGUGACCCUGAGCAUGAGCAUUUUUCUGUGCAUGUGAUAGCAGAACUGGAUGCCUUCAUCUAGCCCAUCUGCAAUAAAACAUGUCUCUC